GACGAACGCUGGCGGCGUGCUUAACACAUGCAAGUCGAACGGAAAGGCCCUGCUUUUGUGGGGUGCUCGAGUGGCGAACGGGUGAGUAACACGUGAGUAACCUGCCCUUGACUUUGGGAUAACUUCAGGAAACUGGGGCUAAUACCGGAUAGGCGCUCCUGCUGCAUGGUGGGGGUUGGAAAGUUUCGGCGGUUGGGGAUGGACUCGCGGCUUAUCAGCUUGUUGGUGGGGUAGUGGCUUACCAAGGCUUUGACGGGUAGCCGGCCUGAGAGGGUGACCGGCCACAUUGGGACUGAGAUACGGCCCAGACUCCUACGGGAGGCAGCAGUGGGGAAUAUUGCAGAAUGGGCGGAAGCGUGAUGCAGCAACGCCGCGUGCGGGAUGACGGCCUUCGGGUUGUAAACCGCUUUCGCCUGUGACGAAGCGUGAGUGACGGUAAUGGGUAAAGAAGCACCGGCUAACUACGUG
rnacentral:rRNA from 1 species